AAAACUACAAGAGUUUCGCGAACCAGAAAAAAGUUCUUCACUUUAAGUUUUAAAACAAAACUAUUUUGUAUAAUCAGGCAACAUUGUGACCAGGGGUGCAUCUGGCCUGAUUUGUUAGAGGGUGUGGUAUAAUUGUUAAUUAUUAUAUACAUUUAUAUCUAGACAAGUUUGUCUAGUUCACACACUGGUUCAUCUGUACACUGCACAGAUGAUUA